rnacentral:rRNA from 1 species
UAUGUGAUCGUCUCUCGCAUAUCAAUAAGCGGAGGAAAAGAAACUAACAAGGAUUCCCCUAGUAACGGCGAGUGAAGCGGGAAGAGCUCAAAUUUGAAAUCUUAAAGGGUUUCCCUUUACGAAUUGUAGUUUAAAGAAGUGUUUUCUGUUGAGGUUUUGGUAAAAGUUCUUUGGAAUAGGACAUCAUAGAGGGUGAGAAUCCCGUAUUUGACCUUUACUUUCAACUUUGUGAUACACUUUCAGAGAGUCGGAUUGUUUGGGAAUGCAGUCCAAAAUGGGUGGUAAAUUUCAUCUAAAGCUAAAUAUUGGCGAGAGACCGAUAGCGAACAAGUACCGUGAGGGAAAGAUGAAAAGAACUUUGAAAAGAGAGUUAAACAGUACGUGAAAUUGUCAAAAGGGAAGCGUUUGACACCAGUGUUGUUUUUCUGAAAAUCAAUUAAAGAACUGUUUAUGCUAAGCUGUUUAGACUUUAUCAGCUAUCUGUUUAGUUUUAGGCUUUUCUUUAAUGCACUUUUCAGUUAACAAGUCAACAUCAAUUUCUUUUGCUGUAAAAAAGCUUGAGGAAGGUGGCUUGAGAUUCGUCUUAAGUGUUUAUAGCCUCUUGCCUAUGCAGUCGGAGAGAUUGAGGUCUGCAGCGUAGAUCCUUCGGGGCUAAAUGCAUUUGUGCUAAGUUAUAGCAUUUUAUAGACAACUUGUUGACUAUGAUUUGUCUUGUAGCUUACUCGCUUAUGUUAUUUUACCUACGCUUAGGAUGUUGAUCUACAGAGCGAGAGU